CACGUAGGCGGCGGCGUAAGUUGGAUGUGAAAUCCCUCGGCCUAACCGAGGAACUGCGUCCAGUACUGCGUUGCUUGAGGAUCCAAGGGGUGCAUGGAAUUCCCGGUGGAGCGGUGAAAUGCGUUGAUAUCGGGAGGAACUCCGGCGGCGAAAGCGGUGCACUGGUGGAUUUCUGACGCUGAGGUGCGAAAGCCAGGGGAGCAAACGGGAUUAGAUACCCCGGUAGUCCUGGCCGUAAACGAUGGGCACUAGGUAGGGGAAACCAAACGUCUCCCUGCUGGAGUGAAUAUAUUAAGUGCCCCGCCUAGGAAGUACGGUCGCAAGGCUGAA
rnacentral:rRNA from 1 species